rnacentral:rRNA from 1 species
UGCCCAUGCUAGUUUGUACGAGUUUCAGACUCGUUGCAGAUAGCUCAGUAACACGUGGGAAAAAACCCUAUGGAUCCAGACAACCUCGGGAAACUGAGGCUAAUUCGGAAUAGGGCUCUCAUCCUGGAGUGGAGAGAGCCUGAAAUGCUCCGGCGCCAUAGGAUGUGGCUGCGGCCGAUUAGGUAGACGGUGGGGUAACGGCCCACCGUGCCAGUAAUCGGUACGGGUUGUGAGAGCAAGAGCCCGGAGACGGUAUCUGAGACAAGAUACCGGGCCCUACGGGGCGCAGCAGGCGCGAAACCUUUACACUGCACGCCAGUGCGAUAAGGGGACUCCAAGUGCGAGGGCAUAUAGUCCUCGCUUUUUGCG